AGAAUCAACGCUGGCGGCGUGCCUAACACAUGCAAGUCGCACGAGAAAGCGGGAGCAAUCCUGCAAGUAAAGUGGCGUACGGGUGAGUAACACGUGAAUCAUAUACCUUCGAGUGUGGAAUAACUGAGAGAAAUCUUAGCUAAUACCGCAUAAUACUUACGAGUCAAAGCAGCAAUGCGCUUGAAGAGGAGUUCGCGGCAGAUUAGUUAGUUGGCGGGGUAAUGGCCCACCAAGACGAUGAUCUGUA
rnacentral:rRNA from 1 species